UACGUAGGAGGCGAGCGUUGUCCGGAUUUACUGGGCGUAAAGCGCGCGCAGGCGGCAGUGCAAGUAAGGUGUGAAAUCUCCCUGCUCAACGGGGAGGGUGCACUUUAGACUGCACAGCUCGAGGUCGGUAGAGGGGGGUGGAAUUGCUGGUGUAGCGGUGAAAUGCGUAGAGAUCAGCAGGAACACCCGUGGCGAAGGCGGCCCCCUGGACCAGCACUGACACUGAGGCACGAAAGCGUGGGGAGCAAAUAGG
rnacentral:rRNA from 1 species